rnacentral:lncRNA from 1 species
UUCUCUUUUUAUUGGAAAAAACACCUUCAAGCAUGUCUUCUAAGAUCUGGUUCAGCAUCUCUUCACUUAUUCUUUCCCUAGCAAGCAGCAAUCUUAAGGCUUCUCUUCAUCUGUAAAAUUAAUGUUGAAUAUUAGAAUAAGAACAGUUAUGCUAUAUCCAUAAAUAAUGUCAAAUAUCAUCCCUUACCAUGCGGGCUCUCUUCAGCAGCAACAGCACCGCCAUUUACAGUGCUGCUACUAACCUCAAUAACUUCACUAUUGCAGCAACAAUAGCAACACCAGCUUCAGCAUCUUCAGCAAUCACUCCAUCUCCAUGCUCUUCAGCAACAUCGCAAUCUUCAAGAUUUUCAAGAGUCUAAGGCUCCAUCAUCAAAAUUCAAAACUACUUUCAACUUAAUUUGAAGGAUAAAGAAAAUUUAAAUAGAGUGGAAAACAAUGCAUCCAAAUGGGUGUGAUAGGAAUUUCAAAUGCACUCCACUCUCACUCUAGCUUCUCCUAAUCCAUUCAUUCAUUUCUUCCAUUUAAGGAGGCCAUCACCAUUCACCCCUCAAUGUUAUUGCAUGCAAUUCCCAAAAUGCGUUCUGAGCACCCAAUGAGAAGAUGUGAGACAUGAAUAAGUAUGCAUGAAUUCACAAGAAGGCAUAUAAAAUCUUAAGUUAAGCACCAUAUUUCAAACUUCUCAUAUCAUUCCUAGGACAAAAUCGGACCAAAAAAUACAACUUUGCAAUCAUGAGUAACACUAGCGUUAAUUGUAAUUAACCUAAUUCAAUAAAUUGUCAUAACCUAAUUCAAUAAAUUGUCAUCGUUACUUCAGGUUCCACAGUAUUCAAACUCUUAAUACAGCAACCCAGCACGAAAUAGGAACUAUACAGUUAACAAGAUAUAUUAACACAUAAGCUAUACAGAGCAUUUUAAGUUACUUCAUGUUAAAGUUAUUUAAUCAUACUUCAGAUACCCAUAUUAUCAAAACAUGCCCCUUCAAUUAAGGGUCUGUAACCUAUGCCUAGGUAAUAUAUUUUUUUUAAGGAAUAUAAGCAGAAUUUGCUCCUUUAACUUCCACAAGCCGUGCACUCUUCAUGGUUUGUUGGAGAACAAACCAUCUGUGCCAUCUUGGUUUUAUCAUCAGCCACCAACUCAGGCUUCGCCUGAAUCACCAAGAGUUGGGAAAGUGAAACAUUGGGAAAAAGAAAAAAAAAAAGUAAUUGAUUGUUCUAGCAGCAAUCAUCUUCUUCCUGCAAGAAUCAGCCAUGAUUUCUUUUUUUUUUUUGAAAAAUUCAAAUCACCAAUAUUUUUACGUUCUUCUCCAAAUUCUUAUCAUUCACCUCAUUUCCACAACAAUUGCUAGAAAACAGAACACCAACAUUCAAACCAACAAACAAGCCAACAAAUUAAAAAAAAAAAAAAAGGCCCAUCUCCUAAAUUCAUCAAUUCAACACCACAAUCUCUACUACCCUCUUAAUCACUCUCUCUCACAUCAACGCCUCUACACUUUCAGAUUUCAUGAAAAUGAUUUCAAUAGAUUAUUAUUAUUAUUAUUAUUAUUUAUUUGGCUUUAUAGAGCCAUCAACUAAAACACUUGAAUACCUAAAUGGAAAAAUGAAAUCUGCACGUAAAUCCAUUCGAAUCUCGCCGUAGCACCACCGCCGCACCAUGCUGUUGUUCGAAUUCAAAUGACACCGUCGCUCCAAUCAAAGAUUCAGGUGCUGCAGCUGCACCACUCAUUUAAUGAUUCACGCUGCACGACGGCUGGGCUGCUAUGUUUGGCUCUUGAGAAAUUGGA